rnacentral:rRNA from 1 species
GAUCCCCGAAAAAUUUUUGGGUCAUGCGCCGCUAUCUGCAGUCGAGCGGACAGAUGGGAGCUUGCUCCCUGAUGUUAGCGGCGGACGGGUGAGUAACACGUGGGUAACCUGCCUGUAAGACUGGGAUAACUCCGGGAAACCGGGGCUAAUACCGGAUGGUUGUUUGAACCGCAUGGUUCAAACAUAAAAGGUGGCUUCGGCUACCACUUACAGAUGGACCCGCGGCGCAUUAGCUAGUUGGUGAGGUAACGGCUCACCAAGGUCACUUGUCAACCAGUGCUAGCGACUGAAGGUGAUCGUCACUGGACUGGAACUGGUCUGAGUCCUUCCGGGAGGCAGCAGUAGAAUCUUCGCCAUGAACGAAGGUCGACCGAGCCAGGCCGCUGAGUGAUGAAGUUUCGAUUCGUUAAGCUUCUGUUGUAGGAGACAGUACGUCGAUAGGCGGUACCUUGACGGUACCUACAGAAAGGCACGGCUAACUACGUGCCAGCAGCGCGGUAUACGUAGGUGGCAAGCGUGUCCUGAAAUUAUUGGGCGUAAAGGGCUCGCAGGCGGUUUCUUAAGUCUGAUGUGAAAGCCCCCGGCUCAACCGGGGAGGGUCAUUGGAAACUGGGGAACUUGAGUGCAGAAGAGGAGAGUGGAAUUCCACGUGUAGCGGUGAAAUGCGUAGAGAUGUGGAGGAACACCAGUGGCGAAGGCGACUCUCUGGUCUGUAACUGACGCUGAGGAGCGAAAGCGUGGGGAGCGAACAGGAUUAGAUACCCUGGUAGUCCACGCCGUAAACGAUGAGUGCUAAGUGUUAGGGGGUUUCCGCCCCUUAGUGCUGCAGCUAACGCAUUAAGCACUCCGCCUGGGGAGUACGGUCGCAAGACUGAAACUCAAAGGAAUUGACGGGGGCCCGCACAAGCGGUGGAGCAUGUGGUUUAAUUCGAAGCAACGCGAAGAACCUUACCAGGUCUUGACAUCCUCUGACAAUCCUAGAGAUAGGACGUCCCCUUCGGGGGCAGAGUGACAGGUGGUGCAUGGUUGUCGUCAGCUCGUGUCGUGAGAUGUUGGGUUAAGUCCCGCAACGAGCGCAACCCUUGAUCUUAGUUGCCAGCAUUCAGUUGGGCACUCUAAGGUGACUGCCGGUGACAAACCGGAGGAAGGUGGGGAUGACGUCAAAUCAUCAUGCCCCUUAUGACCUGGGCUACACACGUGCUACAAUGGACAGAACAAAGGGCAGCGAAACCGCGAGGUUAAGCCAAUCCCACAAAUCUGUUCUCAGUUCGGAUCGCAGUCUGCAACUCGACUGCGUGAAGCUGGAAUCGCUAGUAAUCGCGGAUCAGCAUGCCGCGGUGAAUACGUUCCCGGGCCUUGUACACACCGCCCGUCACACCACGAGAGUUUGUAACACCCGAAGUCGGUGAGGUAACCUUUUAGGAGCCAGCCGCCGAAGGUGGGACAGAUGAUUGGGGUGAAGUCGAACAAGAGCCACCCCUAAAAAAUAAGCCGUAUGGCC